rnacentral:rRNA from 1 species
GAUCAACGCUGGCGGCGCACAUAAGACAUGCAAGUUGAACGGACUUAAUCGAAAUAUUUAUAUUUUGAAGCGGUUAGUGGCGGACUGGUGAGUAACGCGUAAGGAACCUGCCUAUUAGAGGGGAAUAACAGCGAGAAAUCAUUGCUAAUACCGCAUAUGCCAUAGAUAUCACAUGAUAACAGUGGGAAAGGAGCAAUCCGCUAAUAGAUGGCCUUGCGUCUGAUUAGAUAGUUGGUGGGGUAACGGCCUACCAAGUCGACGAUCAGUAGCCGGACUGAGAGGUUGAACGGACACAUUGGGACUGAGAUACGGCCCAGACUCCUACGGGAGGCAGCAGUCGGGGAUAUUGCGCAAUGGAGGAAACUCUGACGCAGUGACGCCGCGUAUAGGAAGAAGGUUUUCGGAUUGUAAACUAUUGUCGUUAGGGAAGAGAAAGGACAGUACCUAAGGAGGAAGCUCCGGCUAACUACGUG